rnacentral:rRNA from 1 species
AAUCAACGCUGGCGGCGUGCCUCAGACAUGCAAGUCGAACGCGAAAGUCCCCUUCGGGGGACGAAGUAGAGUGGCGCACGGGUGAGUAACACGUAGGUAAUCUACCUUUGGAUGGGGAAUAACAACCGGAAACGGUUGCUAAUACCGCAUAAUGCAGCGGCACCUAAUGGUGACAGUUGUUAAAGCGGGGGAUCGAAAGACCUCGCGUCUAAAGAGGAGCCUGCGGCGGAUUAGCUAGUUGGUAAGGAAUGGCUUACCAAGGCUACGAUCCGUAACCGGCCUGAGAGGGCGGUCGGUC